rnacentral:rRNA from 1 species
GAUGAACGCUGGCGGCGUGCCUAAUACAUGCAAGUCGAGCGAACAGACGCUGCUCUUGCUCCUCUGACGUUAGCGGCGGACGGGUGAGUAACACGUGUAUAACCUACCUAUAUUACUGGUAUCACUUCGGGAAACCGGAUCUAAUACCGUAUAAUCUAUUGCACCGCAUUGUUCAAUAGUGAAAUUCGGUUUUUCUGUCACUUAUCGCUGGAUCCGCGCCGCAUUAGCUAGUUGGUAAGGUAACGGCUUACCAAGGCAACGAUGCGUAGCCGACCGGAGAGGGUGAUAGGCGACACUGGAACUGAGACACGGACAAGACUACUAAGGGAGGCAGCAGUAGGGAAACGUCCGCAAUGGGCGAAAGCAUGACGGAGCAACGCCGCGUGAGUGAUGAAGGUCUUCGGAUCGUAAAACUCUGUUAUUAGGGAAGAACAAAUGUGGAAGUAAAUAUGCACGUCUUGACGGUACCUAAUCAGAAAGCAACGGCUAACUACGUG